rnacentral:rRNA from 1 species
GAUGAACGCUGGCGGCGUGCCUAAUACAUGCAAGUCGAGCGAAUGGAUUGAGAGCUUGCUCUUAUGAAGUUAGCGGCGGACGGGUGAGUGACACGUGGGUAACCUGCCCAUAAGACUGGGAUAACUCCGGGAAACCGGGGCUAAUACCGGAUAACAUUUCGAACCGCAUGGUUCGAAAUUGAAAGGCGGCUUCGGCUGUCACUUAUGGAUGGACCCGCGUCGCAUUAGCUAGUUGGUGAGGUAACGGCUCACCAAGGCAACGAUGCGUAGCCGACCGGAGAGGGUGAUCGGCCACACUGGGACUGAGACACGGCCCAGACUCCUACGGGAGGCAGCAGUAGGGAAUCUUCCGCAAUGGACGAAAGUCUGACGGAGCAACGCCGCGUGAGUGAUGAAGGCUUUCGGGUCGUAAAACUCUGUUGUUAGGGAAGAACAAGUGCUAGUUGAAUAAGCUGGCACCUUGACGGUACCUAACCAGAAAGCCACGGCUAACUACGUGCCAGCCGCCGCGGUAA